rnacentral:rRNA from 1 species
CCUACGGGUGGCAGCAGUGAGGAAUAUUGGUCAAUGGGCGCGAGCCUGAACCAGCCAAGUAGCGUGAAGGAUGACUGCCCUACGGGUUGUAAACUUCUUUUAUAAAGGAAUAAAGUGAGGCACGUGUGCCUUUUUGUAUGUACUUUAUGAAUAAGGAUCGGCUAACUCCGUACCAUCAGCCGCGGUAAUACGGAGGAUCCGAGCGUUAUCCGGAUUUAUUGGGUUUAAAGGUAGCGUAGAUGGGUUGUUAAGUCAGUUGUGAAAGUUUGCGGCUCAACCGUAAAAUUGCAAUUGAUACUGGCAGUCUUGAGUACAGUUGAGGUAGGCGGAAUUCGUGGUGUAGCGGUGAAAUGCUUAGAUAUCACGAAGAACUCCGAUUGCGAAGGCAGCUUACUAAACUGCCACUGACAUUGAUGCUCGAAAGUGUGGGUAUCAAACAGGAUUAGAUACCCCAGUAGUC